GGUCCGGUCGGCCGCUGACCUCCUCAAAGAACCGGGGAAAGAACUACCCGCCCACCCACCCUCCCCGCGCCGGCGGGCGGGCGUCACCCGUGCGAGUGACCGGCUUGCAGGGGCGGGACACGGACCAUUACGUUCGCCGCGACAACCGCAAACAGAUACGGCCCCCGGCCGGGACGGCAAUCCCGAUCGAGGGCCUGACCGAUCAGGAAGAGUGCACUUCCCG
rnacentral:ncRNA from 1 species